CGCGUAGGCGGUUCCGCAAGCAGCGUGUGAAAUCCCAUGGCUCAACCAUGGAACUGCGCGCUGGACUGCGGUUCUAGAGGACCGGAGGGGGGUAUGGAACUCUCGGUGUAGCGGUGAAAUGCGUAGAUAUCGAGAGGAACACCGGUGGCGAAAGCGGUACCCUGGCCGGUUUCUGACGCUGAGGCGCGAAAGCGUGGGUAGCAAACA
rnacentral:rRNA from 1 species